UUCUUAUCAAGAGAGGUGGAGGGACAGGCCCUGUGAAACCCGGCAACCGAUACUCAAAAGGUAUACGGUGCCAAUUCCUUCAGUAGAGAUACUGGAAGAUGAGAA
rnacentral:ncRNA from 2 species